AACUAACUACGAAGUAAAUGAACGUUUGGGUCCAAAGUAUUUGAAAGACUUGUUUAAGAUUUGACGAUGGGCAAUUUCAAAAGAGUGGGGAACCGGUGGGGUAACCCGGUGGGAAACCUUCCUUUUUAGCCAGGGGAUAACCAUUUGGAAACCAGAUGGUUAAUCCCGUUUAACCAAUAGCAACCGCCAUGGUUGCUACUUAAAAGAUGGUUCUGCUAUCAAUUAAGAGAUGGUCCCGCGGUGCAUUAGUUAGUUGGUGAGGUAAUGGCUCACCAAGACGAUGAUGCAUAGCCGAGUUGAGAGACUGAUCGGCCACAAUGGGACUGAGACACGGCCCAUAUUCCUACGGGAGGCAGCAGUAGGGAAUCUUCCACAAUGGGCGAAAGCCUGAUGGAGCAACGCCGCGUGUGUGAUGAAGGGUUUCGGCUCGUAAAACACUGUUGUAAGAGAAGAAUGACAUUGAGAGUAACUGUUCAAUGUGUGACGGUAUCUUACCAGAAAGGAACGGCUAAAUACGUGCCAGCAGCCGCGGUAAUACGUAUGUUCCAAGCGUUAUCCGGAUUUAUUGGGCGUAAAGCGAGCGCAGACGGUUAUUUAAGUCUGAAGUGAAAGCCCUCAGCUCAACUGAGGAAUUGCUUUGGAAACUGGAUGACUUGAGUGCAGUAGAGGAAAGUGGAACUCCAUGUGUAGCGGUGAAAUGCGUAGAUAUAUGGAAGAACACCAGUGGCGAAGGCGGCUUUCUGGACUGUAACUGACGUUGAGGCUCGAAAGUGUGGGUAGCAAACAGGAUUAGAUACCCUGGUAGUCCACACCGUAAACGAUGAGUGCUAGGUGUUUGAGGGUUUCCGCCCUUAAGUGCCGCAGCUAACGCAUUAAGCACUCCGCCUGGGGAGUACGACCGCAAGGUUGAAACUCAAAGGAAUUGACGGGGACCCGCACAAGCGGUGGAGCAUGUGGUUUAAUUCGAAGCAACGCGAAGAACCUUACCAGGUCUUGACAUCCCUUGACAACUCCAGAGAUGGAGCGUUCCCUUCGGGGACAAGGUGACAGGUGGUGCAUGGUUGUCGUCAGCUCGUGUCGUGAGAUGUUGGGUUAAGUCCCGCAACGAGCGCAACCCUUAUUACUAGUUGCCAGCAUUCAGUUGGGCACUCUAGUGAGACUGCCGGUGACAAACCGGAGGAAGGUGGGGAUGACGUCAAAUCAUCAUGCCCCUUAUGACCUGGGCUACACACGUGCUACAAUGGCGUAUACAACGAGUUGCCAACCCGCGAGGGUGAGCUAAUCUCUUAAAGUACGUCUCAGUUCGGAUUGUAGGCUGCAACUCGCCUACAUGAAGUCGGAAUCGCUAGUAUCGCGAUCAGCACGCCCGAACGCC
rnacentral:rRNA from 1 species